rnacentral:rRNA from 1 species
UAGGGAAUCUUCCGCAAUGGACGAAAGUCUGACGGAGCAACGCCGCGUGAGUGAAGAAGGUCUUCGGAUCGUAAAACUCUGUUGUGAGGGAAGAACAAGUACGAGAGUAACUGCUCGUACCUUGACGGUACCUCAUUAGAAAGCCACGGCUAACUACGUGCCAGCGGCCGCGGUAAUACGUAGGUGGCAAGCGUUGUCCGGAAUUAUUGGGCGUAAAGCGCGCGCAGGCGGUCCUUUAAGUCUGAUGUGGAAUCCCACGGCUCAACCGUGGAAGGUCAUUGGAAACUGGGGGACUUGAGUACAGAAGAGGAAAGUGGAAUUCCAAGUGUAGCGGUGAAAUGCGUAGAGAUUUGGAGGAACACCAGUGGCGAAGGCGACUUUCUGGUCUGUAACUGACGCUGAGGCGCGAAAGCGUGGGGAGCAAACAG